ensembl:rRNA 5S_rRNA 5S ribosomal RNA
CUCUAUGGCCAUACCACCCUGAAUGCGCCCUAUCUCGUGUGAUCUCGGAAGCUAAGCAGGGUCGGGCCUGGUUAGUACUUGGAUGGGAGAAAGGAGUCCAAGAGGAUUCGAAGGGC